CCGGGUAAGGAGAGUCAGUUAAGGACUGAAAAUACCAGCUGAGCCAUCAAGAUGGUCAGUGUCAUCAAAAGACUCCAAAAGCAGGUUGGAGCAUCAAGGAGUUCAUCUAAGUGGCUAAGGGACCUCUGCUUGGCGAAGUUCCACCCUUACUUCACAGGAGUCAAAGGACUAGUGAUGAAGAAAUGACUAAUACAGUUGGGAAUAAUACCUCAUUUUCCAGAUAAAGGAAUGGAAGCACAGAGAGAUUGAGCAACUUGUUCAGGGGGCUCUAUGUAAGUACUCUACCUAAUAUACUUC
rnacentral:lncRNA from 1 species